rnacentral:rRNA from 1 species
CGGCAAUGGAGGAAACUCUGACCGAGCAACGCCGCGUGAAUGACGAAGUACUUCGGUAUGUAAAGUUCUUUUAUCGAGGAAGAAAAGCAAAUGGCGAACCAUGUGUUUGCCGGUACUUGAUGAAUAAGCCCCGGCUAAUUAUGUGCCAGCAGCCGCGGUAAGACAUAAGGGGCAAGUGUUAUCCGGAAUUAUUGGGCGUAAAGGGUGCGUAGGCGGUCUAGUAAGUCAGUGGUGUAAUGUCAACGCUUAACGUUGUCCGGCUAUUGAAACUGCUAAACUUGAGUUAGAUAGAGGCGAGUGGAAUUCCAUGUGUAGCGGUAAAAUGCGUAAAUAUAUGGAGGAACACCAGAGGCGUAGGCGGCUCGCUGGGUCUUAACUGACGCUGAGGCACGAAAGCGUGGGGAGCAAACAGGAUUAGAUACCCUGGUAGUCCACGCCGUAAACGAUGAGUACUAAGUGUCGGGUUAAACCGGUACUGAAGUUAACACAUUAAGUACUCCGCCUGAGUAGUACGUACGCAAGUAUGAAACUUAAAGGAAUUGACGGGACUCCGCACAAGCGGUGGAUCAUGUUGUUUAAUUCGAAGAUACCCGAAAAACCUUACCAGGUCUUGACAUGUUUUUGCAAAAUGAUAGUAAUAUCGUGGAGGUUACCAGAAACACAGGUGGUGCAUGGUUGUCGUCAGCUCGUGUCGUGAGAUGUUAGGUUAAGUCCUAAAACGAGCGAAACCCUUAUCGUUAGUUGCCAGCACGUUAUGGUGGGGACUUUAACGAGACUGCCAAUGAUAAAUUGGAGGAAGGUGAGGAUCAAGUCAAAUCAGCAUGCCCCUUAUGACCUGGGCUACAAACGUGAUACAAUGGCUGUUACAAAGAGUAGCUGAA